AUUCCAGCUCCAAUAGCGAAUACUAAUUCUGCUGCAGUUAAAAAGCUCGUAGUUGAACUUCUGGCGUGCGACCCGGGUCGGCCCGAAAUGGGUCUGUACUAGGAGUCGCGCGCCAUCCUUGGGGCGAGGCGUACUACCAUUAACUUGGCGGUGCGUUGAGCCCCAUCGUUUACUGUGAACAAAUUAGAGUGUUUAAAGCAGGCAUAUGCCUUGAAUACAUUAGCAUGGAAUAAUAAGAUAGGACUUCGGUAAUAUUUUGUUGGUUCAUUAUUGAGGUAAUGAUUAAUAGGGAUAGUAGGGGGUAUUCAUAUUCAAUUGUCAGAGGUGAAAUUCUUGGAUUUAUGGAAGAUGAACAACUGCGAAAGCAUUUACCAAGGAUGUUUUCAUCG
rnacentral:rRNA from 1 species